CGACUUUAGAGACGGAGGAAGGGAUUGAGAUGAAGAAGAAUGAUCGGAGUCGGGAAGAUGAAGCUAUUGCCUAACGUCCUCGACAGGCCUCUCAGCAACGGAAAACAAGAGGUCAGUUUGGGUGCAUUUCGGAGCUUGUGCAAUACAUCCAGACACAGGUUGAAAACAUUGCCUAGCUAGAAACAAGGCGAUUCACGUUCGUGGUAUUUCGGUAGCUGCUCACUUGAGAAAGGCACUCAACAUGAGGACGAGUACAUGAUUAGUGAGAACGAACUACGGCAAGGGAGAAGUUGAUCGAAACCGAAGAACAAAGAACUCGAUUUCAGGGAUUGUUCCGUUCAUUCCCACUCUACAAUAUAUGCCCUUAAGAAUUGUGCAUUUUUUGAAGAAAAAGAAAAGAAAGUAUGAUCUAUCGAGCAGUGAGGAGAGCCAUGUUGGAUGUGUGUUCAAGGGGAUGGCCUUUAUUGUAUCAAUACAAUUCAUGUUCCUUUGUUGUGUCUCUUGUUGGCCUAAAAAUGGCUAUUAAUGCUCAUUAUCAAAUAUUACUCUA